UCAAUUUUUUUUCCGAUUUGAACCCUAGCAAUUUCAGUUUGGGAGGGAUGAAAUCAAAAGAAAAUCAUUUUGGGCAGGAUUAUUCCCGCUUGGUGUUUUAGAAUAGUUAUAAAUUCAACCCUAAAAUUAGUUCAGAGAUGUUAAGAGAUACAUCUUUUUUGGGGGAUAUCAGUUCUGAGAUCAAAAACAUCCAAGGAAAAGGAAAAUCCCACUGGUACGAUAUAUAGGCCAGAUGUGUUUCUGCAGACACAUAAAGUCACGCCAGAUGAUAAUCACUCAUCCUCUAAAUCACUGGCACCUGCAAAACUAGCAUUGGAGGCAUAUGAUAAAGAUCCUUCAGCACAAAAGUGUUUGGGAACCAACGAUGUUACCAAGAUAUUUGGCGCUGAUCGAAAGGGAUACAUACGCGCAAUUCUAAAUCUCAGUUUCUUGCUUCUGAGUUUAUGAAGGCUAAGUUGCAGGAAGAGAAGCAGAAAAACAAAGCUUUCAAAGCACAACUGGAUACUGAAAGACAGAAGAACACACUGGAGUACAUGAUCGGAUCUCUAAUAGCUCUUAUCAGCAGGACAUUGGGGUCCUAGCAGCACCUUCGUCGUUUGGUCUUCGUUGUUUGAGGAACUUGAGGGAAAAAGUCGGUUGCACUUGCAUGUGGUGAUACUAAGCUGCUGAUUAAUGACGAUCACGACUGCAUGCUUGUGGAAAUCAUUGAGCCAAGUGCAAUGUUGUGUGACGGAGAUGAUGAUGUACUCCAGGAUGUUCCCAUUGGUGAGUUUAUUAGGUGGUCAAAGGCCUACGUGACUCUGGUAGGAUAGCGAUCAAGUUAGGGCGGCAGUGACAGUAAAUUAUUUACUUUUUAAAUUUUCAAUAUGUAAG